UCAAAGGCCGUUGCGAGUCGCGGUCAUCGUUGUUCACCGUCGGAGGCAUCACCGGCAUGGUGUCAGGUCCUCCCUUUUCCUUCUUCUCUUCAUGCGUGAGAGAGGAGCUCUCUCGUUCCUCCGUUAGUCGCCUCUUGAGCGAGCCUAGCCGCCGCGAGUUUUCUCUGGUUGGGCCUGCAAAAAUUCUAUCUUUUUCGCAACCCUUUUCGAAGAAGGGGUUGCGUUUUGUUUUCGCACUGGUUGGGCUUGAGAAGAUUUGAGUUUGUUUUUUCUUUCUUUCUGGGACGGGUCUGUUAUUGCACACACUGUUCGGCCAUUGUUCCAUUUUGGGAGAAUUGACUGAUGAAUCAGAAUCAUUGGACUUAAGAGCUCAUCAUUCUAGAUCGACGCAAUCAGAGGAGUCUGCUCUGGUCUUGGAAAGGAGCUACUAUGGUCAUCUUAACCCUUCAUCUAGUCUUCCACACUUGCAACCUUUUGCUGGAGGUACCCAACAUUCUGAGAGCAAUGCUGCCUACUUUUCAUGGCCUACAUUGAGUCGCUGGAAUGAUGCAGCAGAAGAUAGAGCCAACUAUUUUGGGAACCUUCAAAAGGGUGUGCUGCCUGAAACUUUGGGUGGAUUGCCAACACGAAUUUGCUUUGCGAUGUGUGGUUGGAGUUUUUGACGAGGGAAAUAAUUUCUUCUAUGGUAGACGCCGGAGAUGCAGUAGAAGCAAUUUCCCAAGAUGCGGCAGAAGCAGAUUGUCCUCCGAGACAGUCGCCGAAGAUGCUGUUGAAGGUACCCGUUCUGAGAAGCCUCUCCCCGUGUAGGUGCUGAUGACGCCGGAAUCCACCGUCAGUGACCUCAUUGAGACAACGACAAUACGUGAAGGAAAGAUGAAGACGUUGUAGGAUGAUGAAGACUAUGAAUCCCUAACCUCAACAUCUUGGAGACCAGAAACAUUGAGAUUGAAGAGGGAUCCACAAGCGAUGGACACUGGUCACCCCUCUAAGAUCUUGCAAAGAACGUUCAGAACCCUUUUCAAUUUUGCCAUGUCAUACUUAUUUAAUUUAAAUAAAAAUUUCACAUAA